GAUGAACGCUGGCGGCGUGCCUAAUACAUGCAAGUCGAGCGAACGGACGAGAAGCUUGCUUCUCUGAUGUUAGCGGCGGACGGGUGAGUAACACGUGGAUAACCUACCUAUAAGACUGGGAUAACUUCGGGAAACCGGAGCUAAUACCGGAUGAUAUUUUGAACCGCAUGGUUCAAAAGUGAAAGACGGUCUUGCUGUCACUUAUAGAUGGAUCCGCGCUGCAUUAGCUAGUUGGUAAGGUAACGGCUUACCAAGGCAACGAUGCAUAGCCGACCUGAGAGGGUGAUCGGCCACACUGGAACUGAGACACGAUCCAGACUCCUACGGGAGGCAGCAGUAGGGAAUCUUCCGCAAUGGGCGAAAGCCUGACGGAGCAACGCCGCGUGAGUGAUGAAGGUCUUCGGAUCGUAAAACUCUGUUAUUAGGGAAGAACAUAUGUGUAAGUAACUGUGCACAUCUUGACGGUACCUAAUCAGAAAGCCACGGCUAACUACGUG
rnacentral:rRNA from 1 species